GAAGCUGAACCCGAGGGACCCUUAACAACCAUUGCGACAGUAAACGUCCUAACUCAAACACAGUUCUGGCUCUCAACAAGGGCAUCAAACAUCUGAACCAAAAAUCCGAGCAGGCACAGACGAGGCGAAAAGCCCCACAGAAAGGAAGAGAAAUAAGAUUAUUCAGGCAAACACAAGUACUGGACUGAACGAUUUAUAUAAUCUUCACAAACCACAACCAAAAAAGAGUACUUGAUUAGCAACUCCAUUACAGAAGUACUAGUUGAUGCGGAAAACAGAAGGUAACUCAUGUCCAACUAACAUGAACCAGGCGUCGUCUGGCGACACCAUCCACAUUUAUUCUUCGCAUAGACAAAGCAGGGACACCUGACCAAAGGAAAUCAGAACGCUCUACUGAGUCUUGGCCAUGUGGCGGAUCAGAUCGACAACGCGGUUGCUGCACAGAAAUAAGAUUCAAGUGUUACAGGCUGAAGCUGAAGCGAUGAAACAGAGACAUUGGAUAGCGUGUUGUAGAAACAAAUCCGUUAUAUGGCAACUAACCUGUAACCCCACUCGUUGUCGUACCACGAGACGAGCUUGACGAAAUGGUCGUUCAGAGCAAUUCCAGCCUUGGCAUCAAAGAUGCUCGACCUGAAUGGAAAAAAUACAACAUGGAGAAACAGUUACCAUCUGAUAACACUCGGUAGCUCUUGUCAGCAGCAUUAAGGCAUCAAUCAUACCUGCUGUCACCGACAAAGUCAGUGGAGACCAAAUCUUCCUCGACAUAACCCAUGAUCCCCUUGAGUUUUCCCUCAGAUGCAGCCCUGAAAAUAAUUUGAAUACUCAUCAGUGACAUUCGAGUCACAUGGGCAGGCAGGCAGGAAUUAGAAGUAGAUCUUUCUCAACAAUAACUCUUAUACUUCUCUUAGGAGAUACUCUAAGAUUUAAGACUUACUUUAUAGCCUUCUUGAUGUCAUCGUAUGAUGCAGCCUUCUCGGUUCUAACAGUGAGAUCAACAACUGACACAUCCACAGUGGGAACCCGGAAAGACAUACCGGUAAGCUUGCCAUUCAGCUCAGGAAGAACCUUGCCAACAGCCUGAAACACAUCAGAUCAUUAGGUGAAGUGAUGUACUCCAAUUAAGAAGAAAACUGCAUGCUACCAUUUUUACUGCAAUCAACUAUCUGGUCCACUGGGAGCUCACAAAUGACAUAAGCAUGCACAAUGUUUAAGUAUUUCAAUUCGCAAUCACAGAAUAAUCUCGUAAGGAAGAACAUGUAUGCAAUAUGCACAACAUAAACAACAGGCAAAAAAGUAAGGGUGUGUCUAGGACACAUCUAGAUGUGACAUAGUUAUGUCACAUCUAACCUGAUGUCCACUAUGUUUGUGGUCUAUUUGUUUUUUGUCCCAGCUUUUUUUUCUGUUCCUUGUUGCUGCGUUAUUUGCGGGAGCUUAGAUGUGACAUCCAGAAAACAUCUAGAUGUGAAUUAGACAAACUGAAAAAGUGAGCAGUCC
rnacentral:lncRNA from 1 species